ensembl:snRNA U6 U6 spliceosomal RNA
GUGCUCGCUUUGGCAGCACAUAAUACUAAAAAUUUGGACAGUACAGGGAAGAUUAUCAUGGCCCCUGCUAAUCUUGCAGGAUGACAUGCAAAUUGUGAAGCAUUCCAUAUUAAA